rnacentral:snRNA from 1 species
UGCUUUGCACAGUGGCAGUAUCGUAGCCAAUGAGGUUUAUCUGAGGCACAAUUAUUGAUAAUUGUAAUGUCUAUACCUCAUGAAAGUAUUAAUUACUAGAUCAAUUUUGCAUUCUAAUUUUCAACUCUUUAUUCACCGAGUACACUCCAAGCCAGUUUCUUUGAGAAUUGUAACAAUUCUGAGACUCACUCCCAAAUU